CCUACGGGAGGCAGCAGUGGGGAAUAUUGGGCAAUGGGCGAAAGCCUGACGCAGCGACGCCGCGUGGGUGAAGAAGGCCUUUGGGUCGUAAAGCCCUGUUGUACGGGACGAAGGGAGUGACGGUACCGUACGAGGAAGCCCCGGCUAACUACGUGCCAGCAGCCGCGGUAAU
rnacentral:rRNA from 1 species